rnacentral:rRNA from 1 species
AUGUCAGCGAGCUCGUUGGCGUCGUACUGCCCCAACAGGAGUGCCAUCGGGUCGGCGGCGCUGCUGGCGGCUGCAACCAUGGAUGAUGGAAAUUAUCAGAUUCAUGAAACUCGACCUGUUGAAGAAGUUUCAGUCCAGCUUCACUCACCGCCUUUCAUUGUCAUCGAGACAACCGGCAUUGCUCAGAACGCCACAUCCCCGGCCUACUCUCUCUUCACCCGUCAAUGCUCAUGUGCUUUGACCCUCCCCGACCCCUCCCAGCAAGCAGUAGAGUCUCUCUUGUUUGAGCUCCACCGGGCCGGCGGCGGCGACGUCCAUGUUCGUUGGGCGGAGCACAACGCUGGGGUUGAAGUCCACCAUGCUGCUACUGAUGAUGAGGCUCUCCUCCUUUGUCCACCGGUUAUCAGACAACUGCGUAUGAGACGUCCAUCGUCGUACACUCAUUUGAUCGUGCUGAUGCGCCUGGCUGUGGGAUGGCUUCUGCUGGGAUGCUCCGAGGCAUGCAUCGAUCUUUCUCCUGUUCUAACACUAAGGGCAUAUCUUGGCUUGAAUGCUGCUGGGUCGAUGAACGUCAUGCAACAUCGCAGGAAUUUUAAAUUCCAAAUACAGGUGUGCAUGUGUCCACUUGGAAGCUACUUGUUCGUUUUGCUUACUCGUGACUGUAUGUUGGCUUCGUGCUGGUGGGCUAUAGUUCUCCUGUCACAAAUCAUGGAGACAUUCAUCCUCGCAGAUUUCUGCUCCUGCUAUGUGAAAAGGGCAAUCCACAACAUGAAUAUACAUGUAGCAAUGGUGUGCCCUUGGAACGUCCUGCAUGUAGUUGUUGGGCAUGCACAUUGUGGAAUGGUUGUAGCAACUCGCUGGACUGCGGAUCAGGCCAUUCCCUUCCUCAGCAGAGCAGUCGGGCAAUUUUUGGACUACAGAAUUAGAUGCACUAAUGUAUACAAAAGGUGGACGACUACAAAUCCAGUGACCGUUGCUCCGUUGUGGACAUGGGAGUCGUCUGAAUUUUGUCGUCCAUAUAGCAAGGUUCCUAUGCAUAUCCUGUCAAGUAAAUCUUUUCAUGAAAAUAUGAGGUGGGCCGUGGGCAUCAAUCUUUCGCAGACUGUAGCUGACAGAGCAUUUGUUGUGAUGGUGUUGGAAGCGUCGUGUAUGGCAAAGGUAAAUUGUGAUAUGGAGAGUAGUAUUUAUUUGUCCGAGUUGGGUGGAGAAGAGACCUCAUUAGUGUAUCCUAGAGUGCAUGGCAAAAUUGAAGGAAAUGGAAGGGAUGUGUCCGGCUAUUUUACUUUUUGUUUUAUGCUCUGGUGGGACGGUAAAGAAUUGUUUAUCCGGUUUGUACGAAUGGUACGUUGUGGCCAAGAAGGAAUACACAUGGCCACUACCAAGGAACGUGGCUUGAUCAGAACAUGCAAUUCACCAUUUAGGUACUACUGCAACAAAACACAUCUUCUAGAACAUGUUACCUAUCUUGGGAGAGUUUGUUUGAGCGGUGUAACGUCUGAUUUGGUGUAUCAGUUCAAAAAUAGCCGGCAAAACAAGAGAUGUGAAAAAAAUACUUCCAUGCUUCAAGGAAUCAUAUGGAAUCAGGACUCUUUGGAAGAAAUGGACAUAGCAAAUGAGCAUGGUCCAAUGCAGGUUCUGCAGUGGGAGAUGAAUCAGAUGUACAUGAGAGGAAUGAAGAAAUAUGAUUCAUUUCUGUUACUCACAAACUACAUGUACAACAUUGAGAAGCUCCUCAUGAAUCAAGCUUACAACACUGAGCAUUAA